AUCCAGCUGACGAGUCACAAACAGGGCGAAACGCGCCUUGUCCUGGAU
rfam:Schistosoma mansoni, Puerto Rico, WGS project CABG01000000 data, contig: 0041